rnacentral:rRNA from 1 species
CUACGGGUGGCAGCAGUGGGGAAUAUUGGACAAUGGGGGAAACCCUGAUCCAGCAAUGCCGCGUGUGUGAAGAAGGCCUGCGGGUUGUAAAGCACUUUCGGUUGGGAGGACUGCUUCUAGCACUAAUAUUGUUGGAAGUUGACGUUACCUUCAGAAGAAGCACCGGCUAACUCCGUGCCAGCGGCCGCGGUAAUCGGAGGGUGCAAGCGUUAAUCGGAAUUACUGGGCGUAAAGCGCGCGUAGGCGGCUAGAUCAGUCGGGUGUGAAAGCCCCGGGCUUAACCUGGGAACUGCAUCCGAUACUGUCUAGCUUGAGUACAGGAGAGGAGAGUGGAAUUCCACAUGUAGCGGUGAAAUGCGUAGAUAUGUGGAGGAACACCAAUGGCGAAGGCAGCUCUCUGGCCUGAUACUGACGCUGAGGUGCGAAAGCGUGGGGAGCAAACAGGAUUAGAUACCCGAGUAGUC